rnacentral:rRNA from 1 species
GGCCGUGCUUGCAGGCUAACACAUGCAAGUCGAGCGGUAGAGAGAAGCUUGCUUCUCUUGAGAGCGGCGGACGGGUGAGUAAUACCUAGGAAUCUGCCUGAUAGUGGGGGAUAACGUUCGGAAACGGACGCUAAUACCGCAUACGUCCUACGGGAGAAAGCAGGGGACCUUCGGGCCUUGCGCUAUCAGAUGAGCCUAGGUCGGAUUAGCUAGUUGGUGAGGUAAUGGCUCACCAAGGCUACGAUCCGUAACUGGUCUGAGAGGAUGAUCAGUCACACUGGAACUGAGACACGGUCCAGACUCCUACGGGAGGCAGCAGUGGGGAAUAUUGGACAAUGGGCGAAAGCCUGAUCCAGCCAUGCCGCGUGUGUGAAGAAGGUCUUCGGAUUGUAAAGCACUUUAAGUUGGGAGGAAGGGCAUUAACCUAAUACGUUAGUGUCUUGACGUUACCGACAGAAUAAGCACCGGCUAACUCUGUGCCAGCAGCCGCGGUAAUACAGAGGGUGCAAGCGUUAAUCGGAAUUACUGGGCGUAAAGCGCGCGUAGGUGGUUUGUUAAGUUGAAUGUGAAAUCCCCGGGCUCAACCUGGGAACUGCAUCCCAAAACUGGCAAAGCUAGAGUAUGGUAGAGGGUAGUGGAAAUU